AUACGGAGGAUGCGAGCGUUAUCCGGAUUUAUUGGGUUUAAAGGGUGCGUAGGUGGUAGAUUAAGUCAGCGGUGAAAGAUUGUCGCUCCACGAUAAAAUUGCCGUUGAUACUGGUUUACUUGAGUAUAGUUGAAGUAGGCGGAAUGCGUGGUGUAGCGGUGAAAUGCAUAGAUAUCACGCAGAACUCCGAUUGCGAAGGCAGCUUACUAAGUUAUAACUGACACUGAAGCACGAAAGCGUGGGUAUCAAACAGGAUUAGAUACCCUGGUAGUCCACGCAGUAAACGAUGAUUACUAGCUGUUUGCGAUACACUGUAAGCGGCCAAGCGAAAGCGAUAAGUAUUCCACCUGGGGAGUACGCCGGCAACGGUGAAACUCAAAUGAAUUGGCGGGG
rnacentral:rRNA from 1 species